GUAGAGAAGAAGGUGUAAGAGUCCAUUAGAACAUCCGAAGAACAUCUCAUGGUGAAUUGGUAUUAUUGAGUUCAGUUAAAUCUAACCUGGCUGGUUUGAAGAGUUCCUGUCUCCUCGGGCGCUGAGGUUGCUCUAUGUGGUCAUCUCUCGGAUGGAUCAUUUUGACCUUGGGUAGAUCAGCCAGGGUGGCAUAUUCCUCCUUGUUUCUUCCAGCAGAUGCCACAGACUCAGAGGAAUCUAUGGAGCUCUGCGAUAAGCCUGAGAAGAGAUUGGCGUUAAGAGCAUUCCAUUGCCCCGUCUCGUCAGAAGUUUGGCUCCGGUGACGGCGUCGAGAGUGGACGGAGCCGCUUCGGUGAUGUCCCCAGCGUCGUGAUGAAGGCGCCUUUGACGCAGGCAGUCGUGGCAGCGGGAGGGGUCGAAGAUGUUGGGUUGAAACUUGGGGCAUACGGGCUCGUCAUCGGAGAGAGGCAUGAUUUUGGAAUGUGAAAUAUCAUCGCAUCCUGUGUUGAGAACUGAGGCAUAAAAGCAGAGAGGGAAUUCGCAAAAAUGUGAUAUUACAAACAAUAUUUCUGUUGAUUGAUUUGUCCAGGUUACGAUUAAAUGAUUCAUCUUGG